AGAACGAACGCUGGCGGCAUGCCUAAUACAUGCAAGUCGAACGAACACUUCGGUGUUAGUGGCGCACGGGUGCGUAACGCGUGGGAAUCUGCCCUUGGGUUCGGAAUAACAGUUGGAAACGACUGCUAAUACCGGAUGAUGACGAAAGUCCAAAGAUUUAUCGCCCAGGGAUGAGCCCGCGUAGGAUUAGCUAGUUGGUGAGGUAAAGGCUCACCAAGGCGUACGAUCCUUAGCUGGUCUGAGAGGAUGAUCAGCCACACUGGGACUGAGACACGGCCCAGACCUCCACGGGAGCAGCAGUAGGGAAUAGUGGACAAGUGGGCGCAAGCCUGAUCCAGCAAUGCCGCGUGAGUGAUGAAGCCUUAGGGUGUAAAGUCUACGUUUACCGAG
rnacentral:rRNA from 1 species